CCACAACACAGAAAGCCAAUCACUGAGACAAUGAGUAUUUCCAAGGAAGAAGGCUUCAUUCAGGUCCUGCAGCAGAGGAGAUGGGAGAUCAGUCUCAAAUUCAGUUCAACCCACUAAAAUUAGGAAUUUAUGUAGCAGGGAAGAAAUGUAACCAUAUGAGGGAAAACAGAAAUUAGAGAGGGGUAAGGAGAUACUCCUGAGGAAUAAGGAGUCUGGCAUCUCAUUAUCCUCAUGUGGUAAUCUGGAAAAACAGCAAGACUGAUAUAUAGGAUGAUAUCAUGGUGUAAUCCCAGCACUUUGGGAGACCGAGGCAGGCGAAUCAUGAGGUCAAGAGAUGGAGACCAUCCUGGCCAACACGGUGAAACCCCAUCUCUACUAGAAAUACAAAAAUUAGCUGGGUUUGGUGGCACGCACCUAUAGUCCCAGCUACUCGGGAGGCUGAAGCAGGAGAAUCACAUGAACCCGAGAGGCAGAGAAUACGAUACAAGAUCUCUGUAAACCUUCAAUCAAUUUACAUAAAAAGCCAAAUGAUUAGAUAAUAAAGCCAAAAGACGCUAGCACCAGAAAUCAAGUAAAAAAUCAGGACCCAAAAUUAAUUAUUUAUCACCCAACAAAAGAGUCAGUAGCAUGAAAAGAGCUGAGUUCACUGUUGAGUUCUAGACCUUCAGGAGCACAAAAAAAGAGUUGCCAAGAGGCUUCAUUUACUUGAGGAGGGAUUACAUAGGAAGAGACAUACUAACAGUGCUCUCGGAAUCAACACCUAUGAAAGGAAAGAGAACUCAAUAUUGGACAGAGGGAAAAUUCAAGCUAUGCAUUAUCAACAGAUGAGUUGCCUGCUCCUGUGAGAAGCCCUGGAGGUGGAAUGACUAUACAUUUUUUUUUUUUCCUGAAUCCUAUGCUCAGACACUGAAGAUGGGCCGGCCCAGUAAAGGGGUAUACAUUUGGUCAAAGUGGCUCUUUUUAGUUGAGGCCAUCUCCUGAAAGAGCUUAUAGGUGAGAGUUGUCUGCUGUAGCUGGGGAAUAAAUUUUUAUUCCCAAGCAGAAAUCUCAAUACCCCCAUGCAGUGUCCACAGAGUAUUUUCCCAAAAUGAUGGGGAGAAUUUGGAGCCCUAGGAUUUAUGCAAGGGGUUCAAUUCUAAUUUAUUCACCCUACUCAGGCUCAUACUCCAAUUUUUUUUUUUUUUUUUGCACCUGGUCUGCAUGUUAGAAUACCAGUUUGUAGCUUUUAAACCCUACAGCUUAUUAUAAAUGUUAGGGUUUUCCACUUCUCGUUAAUGCUUUUGCCUUGAUUGCUUGCUUCAAUUUUAGCAUUCUUACAUUUAUCUUCCUUUAGAGUUCAACUCUAAAUUUGUAUUUUAUUCAUAAUUAUUUCAUAGCAUUUUUCAGGUCAUUUUAUUACUGUGUGUUCCUUAGAUUCUAACACCCUAUGUUGUUGUACUGACUGCGUCAUUGAUUCUGUUUCUUGAUGUGAAUUGCAUUUGUUCCCUGUGACUAAUUUCCUGUAAUUGCAGCCAGAGAGGGUUCUGUUUUCAUCAGCUCAGUCCAAGGUGAUCAGUAUUUUCUUAACAUAAUGUUUACCUUGAAUAUAUUAUGAUUUUAAUUGUGAAAUGCUAUUCAAUUUUUUAAGGAUUCCCUCAGAAGUAAUGUGCUCUGUAAAGUUUAGGAGACACAAUAUUUUAUAGAUUUUGCUAGUAAAACCAGAAUUAGAAACUUGUACUUUUUGACAUUGACACAUGCCAUUAUUGCUAUAUAGGAAAUCUCCAUAACAUCAACAUCAAUUUCAAGUAAAAAAUAGGGCACUAUUUAUCUCAAAACCAAGUUAGCCCCAAGUCAUGAUCACAUUAUUGUCAUUUACUCUUUGUAAAUACUGUUACAUGUGACACCUGUCUUUGCCAAUAAAAUCCAUAAUCCUGGAGAGCAGAU
rnacentral:lncRNA from 10 species